AUGAUGUGUGUGACUUGUUAUAGCUACACAUUAUGUGAAAACAUGUCCAAUCCCAUUACAAUUGAAACAUUUAAUUCUUUUUCUGUCAACACCUUUUUUUCCUCGCCAAUUACUAAAACUCCCUAUUUUAUUGAAGCUUUUUGGUUGAUCUUGAUCAAUCUUUCCUUGAUCCUAGCUAUGAAUGUUUCUUCCAAAGAUUCCUCUAGAAUAUCUCCCACAACCUCGACCUGUGAAAUUUCCUUUGGACGAUUUUUGCGACAGCCCAGAUUUGCCUUCAACUGCACACGCCAUCGAUCCCAGUUUUUUCUAUUGAGAACAGGAAUAUUUGUUUAG